rnacentral:rRNA from 1 species
UACGGAGGGUGCAAACGUUGCUCGGAAUCAUUGGGCGUAAAGCGCACGUAGGCGGUCGGCUAUGUCGGAUGUGAAAGCCUCGGGCUUAACCCGAGAAGGGCAUCCGAAACUGGCCGGCUUGAGUACGGAAGAGGGUCUCGGAAUUCCCGGUGUAGAGGUGAAAUUCGCAGAUAUCGGGAGGAACACCUAUGGCGAAGGCAGCUCGCUGGGACGUUACUGACGCUGAGACGCGAAAGCGUGGGGAGCAAACAGG